GACGAACGCUGGCGGCGUGCUUAACACAUGCAAGUCGAACGGAAAGGCCCUGCUUUUGUGGGGUGCUCGAGUGGCGAACGGGUGAGUAACACGUGAGUAACCUGCCCUUGACUUUGGGAUAACUUCAGGAAACUGGGGCUAAUACCGGAUAGGAGCUCCUGCUGCAUGGUGGGGGUUGGAAAGUUUCGGCGGUUGGGGAUGGACUCGCGGCUUAUCAGCUUGUUGGUGGGGUAGUGGCUUACCAAGGCCUUGACGGGUAGCCGGCCUGAGAGGGUGACCGGCCACAUUGGGACUGAGAUAUGGCCCAGACUCCUACGGGAGGCAGCAGUGGGGAAUAUUGCACAAUGGGCGGAAGCCUGAUGCAGCAACGCCGCGUGCGGGAUGACGGCCUUCGGGUUGUAAACCGCUUUCGCCUGUGACGAAGCGUGAGUGACGGUAAUGGGUAAAGAAGCACCGGCUAACUACGUG
rnacentral:rRNA from 1 species